CAGAACAAUCUUUGAAAUCAUCUCUCCAAGCUGUUCAAUCAAGAGAUGCAGGGUCAUGUACACCUGCAGCGACAGCUUUUUCCCAGCGUGCGUUUGAAGGAACCACCAACCCGUUGUUAAAGAAGGGCUGGGUUCAGAAGGGCUGGGUUCAGAAGGGCUGCACAUGUUAGCAAAAAUAAUCACUGGAGGAGUAUUUGUGCUGAUAGUAGGCACCAUGCUGGCCACAACUCUCUUCCUCAUCAGAAAAAGAUACGGUCCAGUGCCAAGAGACUGAACGAGAGGAGGUGAGCUGGGAGAUGGUUUCAGGCCACAGCUUAACAUGACUUUUUGAAUUAGUUUGAACAUUUACCCCAAAAAAAGCAUUAAGUUCUUUGUCUAAAGAAGUUAAUGCAAAUAACAAAAGCAAGGUCCUUAAAUAACACAUAAGUGUGUUCUACUCUGAUGUCAGGCUCAAAGUAUGCACGGAUGUCAGUCAACAUACAAAGACUGGAAAGUGUUUCAAAGUCAUAAUAUAGAUGUCUUUUUUUCUUUUACAAUUGGACACUAUAACUUAAAUGAUUUUGUAAUCAUUCAGCAAACUUAUCACAUCCUCCCAUCAGUAAGUUAACUGCUCCUGAAAGUACAAGUCCAUGUUAUUCUAUAUUUUUUGACAAAUCCCAUAAAAAGGCAAAAAGCAGGGCUUUCUUUGUUGCCAACUCAAACAUGAUUUAACGCUGCAUUGGUUGGUGAAAUAUUUGCAUCUGUGGAUUAAUACAAAUAAGGGAGAUUUUACAGCUGCAUUUCGGUGUGUGAGUACUCAAAAUACGGUACCACUUUACAAUAAGACUUAUAAAAGGUUUACGAAUAGUUUUUAAUUUAUUUAUUA